rnacentral:lncRNA from 1 species
GGUCUCCAUCGUAGAUGGGUAGAUUUGCUAGUUGGACUAAUUGGAAGAAUGUUAACAAAAUGAAGAAUGUUCAUAAACCAGCAACACAGACUCUACCGACGCCCAACUACCAAGCGAUACUCAAAAUUGAGAUUUCCUUGAUUCUUCAAGAUUAUGACAGCACGAAAUAAAAGGCAAGUAAACGAUUCUGAAGGAAAAAGUUCAGUAAUUUAAGAUUUGUGUCUAGCAUAGUGAGUGAGCUGUGCAGAGUAGGAAAUAUGGGUCGUGUCUGUGAUUUAGAGGUUUAAUUAGCCGAGAGUCAGCUUCCAGAAAGUUCGUGGUGGUUUAGAAUUAAGCGUCUCAGAUUCGGUCGGACACUACAAGAUGGCAGCUUGGUUACUAUUGCUUGGUUCAUGUAUAUGUAUGUUUGAAUCUGCGUAUACACGUAUACGUACACACACACACACACACACACACACACACACAUACAUACACACACCAUUAACACACAUAUACAAAUACCGUAUGUCUGUGAAUAUACAUGUAUAUAUAAUUGUAACUGUAUAGUUGUGUAUGUGUGUGAAUAUGAAUGGAAUAAUAUAAUGCGUGUAUAGGUAGUUGGGAUGGAUAUGUGCACGUAUAUAUUCCUAUGUAUGUGUAAGUGUACAUGUGUGUGUGACUAUGUAUGCAUGUAUGUAUAUAUAUAUAUGUAUAUACGAAUAUACCAAUGUGUGUAUAAACGCAUGUAUCUUUUUGCACCAACGGACUGGUGAGAACAAGUGCGUGUAUAUAUUGAUAAGCAUUCCAAGUACAUCUCAGUUACGCUUUCACUAUCCUCUUCCCUUUCUUAUGUUACCUUUUCUUCCUCACACCCACCUCCUUUCUUUUUCCGGUUUCUCUCAAGCUACACUCUGUGUCUCUUCUAUUUUUCUUGUCUUUUUUCCUUUGUAUUCGCUCAUGGUUAUUUUUCUAACCGCUUCUCCCUUUGUUAUAUGAAUCCAUAUGCAUAUAUUUCAUAUACAUGCUUAAAUGCACUGAAACACGCGGCACACACAGAGACACAUAUACAAAAUAUAUAACUACAUGCGUGUGUCUGCGAGUAUGCAUGUGUGUGUGUGUAUGUGUGUAUGUGUGUACUUGUGUAUUUGUAUACAUGGCUAUAUGUAUGCGUAUAUAUAUAUAAUAUAUGGACAUCUUGUUUUUACAAAUGAGCAUAUCUUAUGAUAUAUUUGUAUAUUUGUAUAUAGAUAGAUAGAUAGAUAGAUAGAUAGAUAGAUAGAUAGAUAGAGAUAGAUAGAUAGAAAACAAGAAAAUAGGAUCGAUUUAUGUAAAGAUGUAUAUUUCAUAUAUAUAUGUAUGUAUGUAUGUAUACACACACAGAAAGAGAGAGAGAGAGAGAGAGAGAGAGAGAGAUAGAGAGAGAAAGAUGAAGAGAAGAGAGACAGAUGAUGAAUAAAGAAAUAUAGCUAGAUAGAUGAGUUAUAUUGAAAGAUAGAUAGAUAGAUUAUAUAGGUAUAGUUUAUAUAUCAUGUACGUAUAUAUAUAUAUAUAUAUAUACACUCAUUCGUACAUAUCUAUCUAUAUAUCUAUCUAUACAUACAUACACAUAUACAUACAUAUGCAUACAUACACAUACAUAUAUAUAUGUAUGUAUGUAUGUAUGUAUGUAUGUAUGUAUGUAUGUAUGUAUGUAUGUAUGUAUGUAUGUAUGUAUAUGCGUGUGUAUGUGCGUGCGUACGUGUAUAAAAUGAUGUUUGUGGAUGUAUAUAAUUGAGAAAGUUCACGAGAAAAAAAAGAUAGAAACAUAGAGGCAAACAGUGAGCUAGAAAGAAAGAGGGAUAGAGGGAGGGGGAUAGAGGGGAUAGAGAGAAAGAGAAAGAAAGAGAAAGAAAGAGAGAGAGAUAGAAAGAGGGAAAAGAAGAAGGAAGCGGGUCAGAAUGAAGGAUAUCGAAGCUGUUAGAGUAUAUGAGUGAGGUGUGAGGAUGUUUACUUAAGAUUUACUUAAGCAUUAAUAAGGAAAAUAAAUCGUGAUAUAUUUCUGUACUGACCGAUUUCUCGUGGGAAAUGGGAAAAAAUUCUCUGGGGUGGAAUCAAGCGAAAUGUACUGAAGCUGAGAAUUGCUCAAGGCUACAAUGAGCCGUUGUUUAUAAUUGAUAUCUAUGGACGCAGAUAUGGAUGUAUAUAUAAUGUAUGUAUGCAUGUAUGCAUGCAUCUAUGUAUAUAUAUAUAUAUAUAUAUAUAUAUAUAUAUAUAUUUACAUAUAUAUAUACAUAUAUAUAUAUAUAUAUAUAUAUAUGCAUAUAUAUGCAUGUCUGUAUGUGUGAAUGUAUAUACGCAUGUAUAUAUGUAUUUAUAUAUAUAUAUAUGUAUGUAUGUAUGUAUGUAUGUAUGUAUGUAUGUAUGUAUGUAUGUAUGUAUGUAUGUUUGUUUGUAUGCUUGUGUGUGCAUAUGUAUAUAUGUAUAAAUUAAUGUUUGUAUUUAUAUGACUGUAUGUAUACAUGUGUGCAUAUAUGUACAUGCGUAUGGGUAUAUGCAUGUGUGUUCGAAUGUGUGCGUGCAUGUAUAUAUAUAUAUAUAUAUAUAUACAUCAUACAUAUUUAUAUAUGCAUAUAUAUGAUAUAUAUAUAUAAAUAUGUGAUAUAUAUAUAUGGACAUGUACAUAUAAAUGUAUGCAUGUAUGUAUAUAUAUAUAUAUAUAUAUAUAUAUAUAUAUAUAUAUAUAUAUAUAUAUACAUAUAUGUACACAUGUAGAUAUAACUGUAUAUAUCUGUGUAUGCACGUUUGUGAUUGUUUAUCUGAGGAGGUAUACUUUUAUACAAGUAUAUGUAUCUAUACCUCAAGUUGCGACGCGAAAAAAGGAAAAUGUAAUCUUAAAUGAAAUUUUCCUUCCAAAUUGACGAGGAAAACAAAAUCCUAACGGCAUUUCCUGGAGUUUGUCAUUGAAAUGCAUGAUAAUUUCAUAAUAAAUGGAAUGUUAAUCUCUCAAGGUUUAUUUAUAAGCUUAUAGAAACUCGGACUUUGUUUACAAACAAGAGAGGUAACUUGGGUCAUAUUUUUCCCUAUUUGAUCACUUCAGCCUAAUGUAAUCCAUUCACAUCUUUAUCAUCUGACAAGCGUUGUGAUACAUAGAAAAAAGUGAUAAAUAAUUUCUACAAAAUAAUGGACAAUUAUUGUGAGGAGCUUUUUCUUUUUUAGCAACCUAUCUAUGUUGUGUCAAGGUAGAAAUACAUUUUGAUCUAAGAUUUCAUAGCUUAUCGAUUUAUCGAGAUUGAACAGCGAUCUAGUGUUGUUAUCAACUGUGCUGUAGACUCUAGUAACAAACUGACAGAAUUGCUAAAUUGUUGAUACGCAUGACAUACAGUAUUAGUUCCGGCUCUUUAUGUUCUGAGUUCAAAUUCAGAUGAGGCCAAUUUCACCUUUUAUCCCGUGAAGGUCGAUGAAUGAAAGAAAUAACCAAGUACUAGGGUCAAUGGUAUCGACAAAGCCCUCCUCGCUUGGAAUUUUCUCUGUUAACGUCAUAUUUACUAUUGAUUUCAUCCGAUUACAUAAAACAUACAGUGAAAUUUUCUGUGGAUGUGUAAUUGCACUCAGUUAUGUUAGUAAAUAUCUAAACUGCAAAUUGGAAAAUCUAAAGUUACACCAACUAACACAAAGUUUAUAGAUAUGUAGCAAGAAAAUUCAUCUAUCAGAUCACUACACCCAAUAUUGCAAUUCGAUAGAAUAUUACCCAAGUGAUAAAAUUCUCUAACCACUAACGGUUUUGCGUGGAAAUAGGCUCCAGCGACAAUUUCAAAUUUGGCGCACUCCCUUUUGACCUUAACCAUCAGUAUUAACUCGGCACACCUUGGCUACUUGAGAGCAUUGGGAAAAUGCAUAUAGAGAGCAUUGAUAGACACCAUACGAGAUGGCCAACAGAGAGAGCGAACAGCAGCUGACAACACAAUGGCAAUGAACAUUCAAAGGACGAAAGUCAAUAGAAGUCAGUAGUACGGCAAGUAGAUAACCACACUUUAACUGCUGCAACAACUACACCAAGAAUAAUAAUAUUCAAAACUCUCUCAACGCUUUGCCAUUCAUAGUAACGAGAGUAUUUGCUUUUUAUGAAUGAAAAAUAUAAAAUUUUGUUUAGCAAAAAUAACAAUAAACUUCUGUAUUCUUUAUAACAAAUACAGUCUAUAAGUAUUUCAUAUACCCAGCCUAUUCCCCAUUUUUUUAGGAGUGGGUAGCCACAAGACACACACCAGGCAUUCCAUUUAUUUCCCAGUUCAAAGAGGUGAGCUCCGUUCUUUGCUCGGGUUAAGGCAUAGAACACAAACCCCAAUAUUAGCAGCAGGGCCCGACUGCAUAUGCUGGUUUACCUCUACCGCAUCAUGUUGCCUCCCUAUCCGUUUGGGCAACAUCAAAUUCACUCAUCCGUCUAUAAACAAUUUCCAAGCUUUCCUAUCAUUUAUAAACUCUCUUUCUUCUCUCACUUCAACAUCUCUAACCACCAAAGCUUUCCUCACGCCAUCCAUCCACACAAACCAAGGUCUGCCUCUGGUUCUGCUGCCUACCACUUCUGCCUUAAUCACCCACCUUAAUAUCUGCUCCUCAUCCAUCCUCUCCAUGUAGCCAAACCACCCCAACAUUUGUCUAUCCAUUUUGGUUGUUAGUCUUUCUUUCAUUCCUGCUCGCCUUUGCACCUCCUCAUUCCUCAUCCUGUCCAUCUGUGUCACACCACCCAUAGCCCUCAAACAUCUCAUCUCAAACACAUCUAGCCGCUUCCUUUCGCACGCUCACUCACCAGCAAUGCCACUCCCUCACGAGCCCUCCUAUUCUCGAUACUCGUCCAGUCACAUCACCAAACUAGUACUCUCCCUUACUUUUCAUCUUAGUCUCGCUCAGUGCAAGCACAUCAAACAUUCUCCUCAUAACACUUCCAAUCUCUCUCCUCUUUACUUCAGUUGUACUACACCCACGCACUUUCCAUGACCCUAGUACUAGGAUGAGAUUAGGUGUUAACCUUCUCCCACCCCUCUUCUUUUUAGGAGGAGAGGAUUCCCAGUCCCUUCUCUCUCGCCACUUUUAGUCGCCUCUUACACCACGUAGGAAAUACGGUGACUGUAUUCUACCGGUCUCCUCCCCAGUCGCAGUGAGGUUUUGCUAGUCAACCCAUAGCUGGGACCCUUACAGAUGCUACCACUACAGGCCAGAGUAGACUUGGGAAUGAAAGUGGCUAAGAGGUUGUUCCACACUCCUUAAACCCUGAUGCCAGGGCUCCAGGGUCCCACUACCGGAUGUAGUUUACAGUCUAUAAGUAGAACAGUAAAAAAAAUGCAAGACUGUCUAAAAAUCUGAUAUGUAACAUUUAUCGUUGUUGUUAUCCUAAGUCUAGUGAUGGCGAUUUUGUCUCUUAGAAUCUAGCUCCUUUUCUUGUGAGAAGAAUUAAAAUACAUAGGAAAAGUAAAUAUUCAUUCAUUCCUUUAUUCAUACAUAGAUACAUUUAUACAUAUAUACAUAUACACAUACAUAUUUAUAUACAUGGAUACAUCUAUACACAUUCCCUUAUAUGGAAGACUGUAUAGAUGCUGGUUGGAAUACGGUACACUUUCCUGUAAAAGAUGGAUGUAGGGGUUUUAUAGGAACCAGACGAGGACGGUGGCUCCUAUCAAUCGGCAUCCUAAAUCGGCAAGUAAACACCAUCUUAAAGGAAAUCAAGGUGACAAGUGAGAGGGCCAGCCAUUGGGUAUGGCUGAAAUGGAAUGAUGUAACUUGGCUGGAGAAGUGAUGAUCCCGAAAUGAACUUGAUUGAAGUCGAACAUUAGUCAGUUGACCCAGUAGGUGGAGCCCUAAUAUUAGUGAGUGUUGGUAGGGUGGCGGUAGAGUGCGCUGUUAAGCUGUCGAGCGGAUGGCCUCGAAACGACUUUGCACUUUCUAUCCUGAUGACUGCUGAAACUUUCUGGCAUCCGGUCCGCCGAGUUUUCGACUGAUUGCACUUGUUCUAGCAAGCCAUUUCCAAGUCUCUAUAUGUACGCAUACGUAAUUACAUGCACAUUUACAUUAAUACAAGUAUAUACAUAUACACAUAUAUUCAGAAAUGCAUAUGCAUAUACUUAUAUACAUAUACAGAUUUAUACAUACAUAUGUACAUACAUACAUGCAUGCAUACAUACAUAGAUACAUACACACAUACAUGCAUACAUACAUACAUACAUACAUACAUACACACAUACAUACACAUACAUACAUACAAACAUACAUUCGUACAAAUAUGCAAAUGCACAGGCAUACACAUACAGCCCCGAACACAAGUGUACAAUCAUACAAGACUCCUACAGACAUGCACAUUACAUAUGCAUAUAUACACACACACACACAGACACAGACACACACACACACACACACAUAUAUAUAUAUAUAUAUAUAUAUAUAUAUAUACAUAUAUACAUACAUACAUGCAUAUAUAUAUAUAUAUAUAUAUAUAUAUAUGUGUAUAAUUAUACAUACAUAGACACUACACUUUUAUAUUGUGGUUGGGAUACAGGUUAUUAUUUUUUCAAUUAAUAUAUUCGAAGCAAUUUGUAUAUCUUAAUUAAACUUAAUUAUUAUUUCUAUAUAGAAUACACACACACAUACAUGCGCGCACACCCUCUACACGCACGCACGCACGCAUGCUUCCACACUCACACACAUACACACACAUGUAUGUGAGUGCGUGUGUGUGUGUGUACAUGUGCUCGUGUGUGUCAGUUUGUUUGCACAUACGUAUGUGUGUGUAUGUGUUUGCGUGUAUGGAACUGAAUCUUUAACAUUCUUUUUUUCUUUUUAGUUCUUUCAUUUCUUCUUUCCUUUUCUUUCCACGUCCUCUCUCUACGCCCCUCUCUAUCUACUUCCAUUUUCCCAUCCUCUAUAUAUCUCAGUCUCUCUAUAUUCAAAUCUUUCCCUCUCAUUUGUUUCCCAUCUAUCUUUGCUGUUUCGCUUCAUUUUAGUUUCUAGUCACACAUUUUCUUAUCUCCCUUGCUUAUCUCUCAUUCCUCUCCAUCCUCCCUCUUUAUUAAUCCUCUGCUUCUCUGCCUCUUUCUUCUCCACCAUUGUUUCUCUCUGUGCAUAUGUCUAUCAUGCUCUUCUUCUCUUCCACCUCCUCCACUCUGUGUCUUCUUUACUUUCUCUUUAACUCUUCUUGUUCCUUUCUGUAGGUUUAUCUCAUUUCCGUGUUCAUUUUCAUACACAUUCCCACCUCCCCUCUCUGUUUCCCAUCACGCAUCUCUCCCUAUAUGUAUGUAUGUAUGUAUGUAUGUAUGUAUGUAUGUAUGUAUGUAUGUAUGUAUGUAUGUAUGUAUGUAUGUAUGUAUGUAUGUGUGUGUGUAUGUAUGUAUGUAUGUAUGUAUGUAUGAAUGUAUGUAUGUAUGAAUGUAUGUAUGUAUGCAUGUAUGCAUGUAUGCAUGUAUGUAGGUUGGUAGGUAUGUAGGCAAGUGUGCAUGUAUGCAUGUCUUUGUGUAGAUAUGUAUCUUUAGAAGCAUUUAUAUAUAUAUACGUGCGUGUGUGUAUAUAUAUAUAUGUGUGUGUGUGUAGAUGUAUAUGUAUAUACAUACCUACACAGAGACAUAUAUAUAUAUAUAUAUAUAUAUAUAUAUAUAUAUAUAUAUAUAUAUAUGUAUGUAUAUAUCUAUGUAUGUAUGCAUAUAAGUACAUAUAUAUAUAUAUAUAUAUAUAUAUAUAGACAUGGGUACACACACACAUACACAUAUAUAUGUAUAGGCAUGUGUAUAUACAGACAUAUAUGAAUACAUAUAUACAUAUGUAUAUCUAUAUGUGCACACACAUAUUUGCUUCUAUAUCUUUGAUUUCACCUUCUUUCUCAAUUGCCUAUCUCAGCCUGUAUAUUUCUCCCUCUCUCUCUCUCUCUCUCUCUCUCUCCCCCUCUCUCUCCCUUUGUCACUAUAUGUUUGUCAUCCCUCAUCUCUUGUCUCUGUUUCUUCUCCUAUACCGAACAUCUAUCUCUCUGUUUCUCUCUCGCUCUCUCUUUGUCUCUCACAGAAAAUCAACCCCUUCUCUGAAAUCAGCAAUUCCUUCUUACAUAAUGUCAUUAACAACUCUCUUUUCACUUUUGUACUCUCUCUUUCUCACUCUUUAUUCACUCUCUUCACAUCUAUUCACAUACACACACACAUACAUCUACAUUUACAUAUAUGCACAUAACCUCCUACAUGUUCAUACACAUAGAGACCUACAUGAAUACACGCACAAUGUCUCUAUUGCGUGACUACCUCUCUUUACCUGUCACUCACAGCACGGUUGUCUCUUUCUCCGUACUCCUUCUUUCUUCUUGUUCGCCUACUGCUCUCUCUCCCUCUCUCUUUCUCUCUUUCACUCUCUCUCUCUCUCUCUCAUAGUCACUGUUUAAUUUUCACCCUCUUCUCUCUGGGGUUUAAUUAAUUAAGAAACCAAUAUUAAUUGGAAUUACUUACACAAUGCAUCUAACACACCCUUACCCGAUUCUUCCGCACAAAGACUUCACCAUAGAACCUCAAUUACUCGACCAACCAUUCAUAUUAGAUAACAACUACAUCUAUAUCACCUAAUUAUCUCCCCUGAUUAAUUUAGCUGACGAAAGCUGUUGCUGGCGAUUCACACGCUGCCAUCUUGCUUUGCGUUAUUGAUUUACUGUAUAUCAUGUGUUACGUAGGUAUGUAGCCUCGGGUCUUUAGUACCAGAUAUUUAUUUAUUAGAAACGAGUUUAAAGUGAUAUGACGAGCAGAUAAACCUUCAUACUCAACAAAUAUUGGACGUUACAAUCUUUCAUGACCUCUUAUGAUGACCACAAACCUGUAAUAGUACAUCAUAACAUCUAAAUUUUUUAUACAUACCGAGAUAAUAGCUUUCAUUGUUUGUUGCAGAUAUACGUACAGCCAUCUGAUGUUCCAUCCUUUAGCACCACUGCGCAGGAAAAAUGGAAACUACAGUGUGUUUUACAUAUUGUAAAAUUAUUUUACUUCUAAUUUUUUUUAAUAUCGCACCUUACCUUAAUGUACAGUGUAAUACUACAAACUGAAUGCAUGUUAAUACUCGCCCCAUAAUGUUUCGUGGAUUUAAUAUUCAAAUUAACAAUGAAAGCCACGAUGACCUGAGUAUGACAUUAAAAAUAACCCUUACUUUCUCCCACACUAUCCGCUACUUACAUACAUCUACGAAUAAAGAUCCCCUUCCUCUCGCAUGAUAUACUGUACACUACUCAAAACUAACAACCUACUGCUCCACCUAGGAACACAAUACUUAUCCAUUGUUCAGUGACAAUAUAUAAGUAAUAGUCAAUCUGGAGGGCUCACACUAGCACAUAUAAAACACAUAUAUAUGUCUUUGCACGCUUACACAUUUAGACAUAAAUCUAAGAAAUAUGCUUUCAUAGAUUAAUGAAAUAUAUAUACUAUAUGUAUAUAUAUGUUUAUUCACAUUCACGUGUACACAAUCAUCCACAUGCAAUUCUCACAAGUACUCCGACCCAAUGGCUACAAUACACUGCAAUAUACUAUACUCUUUUACUCUUUACUCUUUUACUUGUUUCAGUCAUUUGACUGCGGCCAUGCUGGAGCACCGCCUUAAAUCGAGCAACUCGACCCCGGGACUUAUUCUUUUGUAAGCCCAGUACUUAUUCUAUCGGUCUCUUUUGCCGAACCGCUAAGAAACGGGGACUAUCUAUAAUAUCAAUACGAUAUUCGAUCAAAAUGAGUAUAUAUUUAGGAAUGUAUGCAUGCAUAUAUGUAUGUAUGUAUGUAUGUAUGUAUGUAUGUAUGUAUGUAUGUACGUGCGUAUGUAUUUAUGUUUGUAUGCACAUUCGUGAUUGCAUAUAUAUAUUUUCCAGUCCAAAUUUCCAUGUAACCCACUACUCACCAAUUGCAAAAUUACGAAAUAAUAUUUUAUAUUUUAUCCCAUAUGCCUUUCUGCCAUAUGUUACCGCCCAGAAUAUCCUUUACAAUAUCCAUUGCCCUCAAUCUAUACAAAUUUAUUCGCAUGAAACCAUUGUUAUUGUAUUAGCAUCACUCUA